CCUACGGGAGGCAGCAGUGGGGAAUAUUGCACAAUGGGGGCAACCCUGAUGCAGCGACGCCGCGUGAGUGAAGAAGUAAUUCGUUAUGUAAAGCUCUAUCAGCAGGGAAGAAAAUGACGGUACCUGAGUCAGAAGCCCCGGCUAACUACGUGCAAGCAGCCGCGGUAAUACGUAGGGGGCAACCGUUAUCCGGAUUUACUGGGUGUAAAGGGAGCGUAGACGGCAGUGCAAGUCUGGAGUGAAAGGCGGGGGCUCAACCCCCGGACUGCUCUGGAAACUGUACGGCUGGAGUGCAGGAGAGGUAAGUGGAAUUCCUAGUGUAGCGGUGAAAUGCGUAGAUAUUAGGAGGAACACCAGUGGCGAAGGCGGCUUACUGGACUGUAACUGACGUUGAGGCUCGAAAGCGUGGGGAGCAAACAGGAUUAGAUACCCCAGUAGUC
rnacentral:rRNA from 1 species